rfam:Spironucleus salmonicida unplaced genomic scaffold scf7180000020574, whole genome shotgun sequence.
GCUCCAAUAGCUCAAUGGAUAGAGCGCUCGCCUCCUAAGCGAGAGGUUGUGGGUUCAAGUCCCAUUUGGAGUA